UGCCCAGCAACUCCUAUCCCUACCUCCUCGCGGUACCGGCCGGAAACUAUGAGCAACCUUAGGGAAGAUCGGGUAACCAACCCCGGUGGGAAUUUAAGUCGUAGGCUGACAGGGAAGG
rfam:Aedes albopictus isolate Foshan contig65237, whole genome shotgun sequence.